GACGUACUCCCUCCGUUCGGAAUUACUUGUCAUUAAAAUGAAUGUAUCUAGAACUAAAAUAUAUCUAGAUACAUCCAUUUCAAUGCCAAGUAUUUCUGAAUGGAGGGAGUAGAAG
rfam:Triticum aestivum genome assembly, contig: Triticum_aestivum_CS42_TGACv1_scaffold_222474_3B